UUUAACUAAAUAUAACAAAUAAUUAUUAAACACGGAUUUAUAAUAAUCCUAUUAUAUAUAGUUACUCUUCCUACAUAUAACCAAGCUUAUCACUGACUCACUGACUCUGUAACUCCAAAGAGAUAUGUAUGUAUACCUUGGAGAAUAUUCCUACUAUUCUAGUUUACCAAAAUACAUUCCAGGGUGGUUUUACUACCACAAAGAUUCAUUUGGCACACCAAUACGUUUUGUAUGCACCCUAAUGUUUACGAAAGUGACUAUAUACUGGUUUACAUUGCUACACGUGGAUCCGCCAUCUUGACUUCUUCGUUAAUUUUACUUCCGUUCCAUUCACGAAAUUACUCCUAGACUCCUACUGAAUGUUGUAUGCCGAGAGCUAAGAUGUUUAUACAUAAAAAUAAUUAUUAAUUUAAAUAUUAUAAUUAAUAAAUAUACAUUAUUUUUAUAAAUGUAUCUUAAGAUUUCUACUACAUUUUACAUUUAAAAACCCAAUAAAAAAUUAAUUGAAGUUUUAGAAACUGACAAAGCGCAAUCUGUUCAUUACUGACGUCUCAACCAGCCCCGUGAAACUUAUAUGUGCAAUUUGUGCACGAUGUUGUGUUUCCUUGAGUGACAACUUGGAGCGCUUACUGUCAACGAUUUAUUAUUAUUAUUAUUAUUAUUAUUAUUAUUAUUAUUAUUAUUAUUAUUAUUAUUAUUAUUAUUAUUAUUUCUGUUGAUAUUUGAAAAUGGCGGGUUUUCAUGUUAGGUUAGGUUAAGUUAAAAAGGGUUAACCUUAUUUUCUAUUUAAGCGAAAUGGAAAAGAAUUAUUUGGAUGGUAGGAAGUGUGCUGCUUUGGGAUGUCCAUCCACUUUCAUGAAUUCGAAAUUAUUUCGUUUUCCUAGGAAUUCGAAAGAGAGGUACCAGAAAUGGGCUGGCAUUGCAAAGAAUCCUAUACUUGAUGUACAAAGUAUGACAUCUUCGUACCUUUGUGGGAACCACUUUGCAAGGAAUCAGUUUCGAGACGAGAACCAGACAACUCUGAUUUUUGGAGCAGUACCUGUAGCAAAGGACAAUUCUGGCUACUUGGAUGAUGAUUUUCUCCCUGCAAAUAGUGUCGUCUCUGACUCGUGGAAACAUUCAACGCCAAGAAACAAGCAAAGUUGUGCUACAAAAUUGAAGUGAAAGGUUGGUUAGGUUAGGUCAGCUACAUUUUAAAUGCUUUGGCAUUGUGAUAGGAAAACAAUAUUGGCCAAAAAUGGCAUUCUUUAUGGGUUACAGUCUUAAUUUCAAAAUGCCAUUUUAAAAUUUUAUUUAUUUUUAGAAAAGCCACAUUUGUAAUGUUUUAGCAAUUCCAAACAUAUAUUAUGUGUUGACCAAAGAUUAGUGUUGUCUAAAACAAGUACUAAAUCCUUACAAUCAUUUCUGCUGCCACCAGCUGAUUAAAAGACAUGGUUUACGUUAAUGAUAUUAGUUACGAUUCUCACGAAGUAAUUUAGAGUUGAUGGAGGUUUUGCAUUUCAAGUCUUAUCUUCUUUUACUUUAUUAUUAUUUAAUAAUUUUCACAUCAUAAACUUAAGCACUGUUCACAAGGAUUGAUAUUUAAUUUUUUGUGUCUCUUAUGUGAUUAUUUAAAGAUGCUGAACAGCAAUGAUGGGUAUUGUAAAUUAUAAUUAAAAUAUUACAGCAGUGCAAUGUACGUGAUAACUCAGAAGUCAUAAUCACAAUGAAGUGUUAAUUUAAUUUUACUAGGCGUAUGAAAACUUAAUACUUUGAAAAAAUUUACAGUAGAUGGGAAUUGUACAAAUUGAAUACCUAUGUAACAUCCCACAAUAUUAUAGUGAAACACUUAUUAAUCCUAUGUUGCAAAAACUCAUUUUUUUAUCUGCUUUUAUAGAAUUUUAGAACAUGAGAAUCAUAAUUCUAUGUUUUGUGUGUGAAAUAGGUUAGGAAAGAUUCGCGUUUUAAAUUGUUUUUAAAUGUUUUAGCAUUAAAAAUCUAUUUGUAAAGCAGGGGUUAUAUUAGUGAUUAGAAGCCAUCACACCAUACAUUUGCCAUUGCUUCAAAUGAUAUAUGUGUGUGUGAGAAAAAACAUGUUUUUUAUAAUAAUUUAGUAAUAACAGAAUGGUGGAUACUUUAGACUUUAGAGCUAUAAAUGAAAUAACCAUAUACUAGUGCUUUUGAAGCAGCUAGUUUGAUUUAGUAAUACUUCUUCAAAUUGUUAUUUGAAUGCAAAGAAUUUGCAUACCCUUGUAUUUUGGCUGUUUUUGUUAUGUUUAUGCACAUUGUAUUUUUAUUUUUUUAGAAUACCUACAUUUAUAUUUAUACUAUAUCAUGUAAACCAGGAUGAGUAACAAGGUAUUUCAGCACUGUCGCUGAUGGGAUUAUUAUGUUAUUAGCCGAUGUCAGGGUCUGCACUAAAUGAUGCUUCCAAAUGUAGCCAAUAAGCACACAUGAUAAAUAAACUUAAAGUAUCCAAUAUAACCACAAACACAGAUUGCCAUAAUGUAUCUAGUCAUUAUUUUUGAAAACAUUAUUGUGGUGGGACAGAACAAACAAAUGCCUGUCUUUACAAGUUGUUCUUACUUUAGUUACCAUCCUUGAUACCACUAUUUUAAUUUGAAUGAAAACAAUGUUUGAAUAAAACUAUACAUUUUUUUUAUUACCUACCAUCAGAAUUCAGGAUGCACCUGCAGGCACUCAGUUUUUGAUUUUGGUUUUGUUUGAGGAAUUAACUCAGAACCAAUUUAUAUAUACAUAUAUUUUUUAAUGUAUACUUGUAAGAACCAUGUAUUAUAUCACUUGCUAUAUAUCAUUAUACCAUUCUUGUUGAAUAAGUCAUGCCUAGGAAAACUAACUCUAUAUCUAUUAUGAGAGUGUAUAACAUACCUGUUUAGGGAGUGUUUAGCAAUAAACACUCAGCAAUGCUACUUCCCUGUUAAUUUAGUGGGUAAUUUUCUAGAGUAGGUGCUCAACCUAGGAAAAAUAUUGAAAAUUCUGAAAAUGGUGUUUUUGUUAACAACUAAUGUUCCUUAAGAUAUUCUGAAUCAGGUGUUCUCAAAUUUUAAAUAGGAUACUCAAGAAAGUAAUAUUGGAGACUGGAGAGAAUUAUGAAGUCCGAGUAAAUUGUGGUGUUAAACAUGCACAAAUGUUUCUUUUGUAUUUUCUUUCCCUUAGCAAAUGAUAAAGCUGUAAAUAAAUAAAGAUUCAAAA